rnacentral:lncRNA from 1 species
AGCCAAGAUUUUAACUGCGAGCUCCUAUCUCCAAGCUCUGUUAUAGCGGUUCUCACUCUUCAGCCUCUUCCGCCUGCGUCAGAAUCACCUGGAGGGCUUGUUAAAAGAGGCUAAUUGGCCAGAGUCACUGCUGGAUUCAAAGGAGGACCCUGUGGAGCCACUGCAUGACCCAGGGGACUAAUCCAUCCAGACAAGAGGACAUUUAGAGCAGGAGGCAAUACGUAUAGAGUCAUUGGCUCCAAAGAAGAUGCAGGGUGAAGAAGCAGGGUCGCUGGCCUUACAAUACUCACAGGCAGAUCCGGGGAAUAGUAGAUGCACACUCCACAGUUAUGAAUGGUGGAAGGUGACAAACUAUGGAAGAAACUGUGGGGAAAAUCUUUCAACUGUAAAGUCCAGGGAAGAUUCAUGGAGGAAGUGAUUCUGAGCGGAGUCCUAUGGCACAGGUGCUGUGUAUGGAGCGAUAACCAGUAAACAAAAACCUCCAUUCUCAUGGAGAGCCUCCACAGAGCCAGGCAUUGAUGCUGCUAGGCCUGAGGGAUCAAGCCUUCCUUCCCUCACCAGGGUCGGGGUCUCCUGCACAAGG